GGUUUUGUAGCUUAGUUCGUUAUAGCGUUGGUCUUUUGAGCCGAAGGUUGUGGGUUCGAGGCCCGCUGGAACCA